rnacentral:lncRNA from 1 species
AGGUUCGUGGCGGCUUCCGACUGGUGCUGAAGUGGGCCACGAAAGAGUGCUCGAGCUGUCCAAAGGAGUGGAUACUUCUCGAUCGAAGAUCGGAGUACCAGGUCCUAACAGUUUUGCUGAGCGUGACGGGGAAGCCGAUGCAAAAAAGAGCAUCAGUCGUCCCUUGGAUCAUCAUGAGAGCCUUAUAGCUCUCCAGGUGGUCA